rnacentral:tRNA from 1 species
GGACAUUUACCCAAGUGGUUGAAGGGUUCGGUCUUGAAAACCGAGAGGCGAUGCAAAUCGCGCGGGGGUUCGAAUCCCUCAAUGUCCGCCA